rnacentral:lncRNA from 1 species
UUUUGUAAAUGUUUUCAAAGUGGUGUUUUAAGAGUUUAAGUAUUGGGCUAAAAAAAAAUUUUGAUUUACACAUAUUCGGUUGAAUUCUAGAUUGCUGUUGAUCUGUUUUGAAUUACAACUCUGGGAUCAUAGAGUUGAAUUAUAUGCUUAAUAUUUGUGUGGUUAUGUGCUCCUUAGAGUCUAGUUUAUGUGCGCGAAAGAACCGAAUCGAUUCGAUUAGCGAGCUAGGAGAUAUGACCGUUUUAGUAUAGUAUGGUGCUGAAAAUUCUGGGCAGGUUUGUCCUGUUCCAGGCUCUGUUUUACAGCUUUAAACUUGGAUUUUCUUUCUGAAAAUUUUACUGUAGGUUGGAAUAAUAUUUAGGAGUGUCUCAUAAAAAUUUCGUAUUAAAAAGAUAAUUUUUCAAUUUAUUAAAAAUCAUAGACCGAGGGCUGUUUGAACUAUUUGUUCUAUUUUUCUUUCUUUGCUAGUGCAUAGUAUGAGGUUAUACUUGACUAAUUGCAUAUGAUUGAUUAUUACAUUGAUUGGCUCGGUUAACCUUGUAUAUCUAAUUAAAAGUGUUUUGCGUAUAACAAGUUAGCAAUCCUGCUAAAAGAUUUUAUUAUAUGUUUACUACAAGUCAAGACAGAUUUUCUUAUGUGUUUACUGCAAGUCAAGGGAUCUUUUUAUAUUAAUAAUUCAUGUGUUAGCAAUAGUAUUGGUUGGUUGUUGGCAUUGCAAACAGGUGGAUAAGCUUAUAAACAGAGGAGAUGCUGCCGAAUUUUCGUUAGAAAUUAUAUGGAUUUAAUGCCUAUAAAAAGGGUUGUUUGUACAACUAUGUGCUAUGUGUUUAUGUGACUGUGGUAUGUAUAUGCGAAGGGUAGAUAUAUAUAUAGGUCUUAAUGCAAUUCAGGGUUAGUCAAUAUGUCUAAUCCGACGACUGAAAUACUAUUUUAUCAUCGUAUAGAAUUGAAGACAUUGACCGAGGCAUUAAUCGAGAAGUGAUUGAAAGGGGUAUUCAGAAAUAGCCAAGCAGAAUGUUACAAGUUGAAGUAGGACGGAGAUUUGUUAUAGAUAAAAGUGUGUCAGAAGCUGGCAGAAAGGAAUGAUUAUGCGGUAUAUAGUGUUACUAGGAAUCUGAGCUAAACUUUGGAGUUAAGGCAAGUACUUCUACCUUCUCUCGCAAUUUAGAAGCAAGUAUUUCUACCCUACUCCUCUAGUACCUAUAGAUACUAAAACCUUCUUUAUAUCAUGAUUCAAAUUAUUUGCAAUUACUUUCUUGUGAAGCAUAUCUAGUACUUUUAAACUUUUUGGUUGAACGGAUAACACUUUUGGUAUCAACUCUACACUAUGAUAUGCAUAAAGAAAUUGUUUUAACAAAAUGUUAUUCUGGCUCUUGAAUUACAUGAUGGAACUGCAGAUUGUUUUAAAAAUUAAACUAUUGGGUUGUUUUUGCGUAAGAGGCUCGGGCACCGGCCCAGCGUGAAAGGUGGCUCCUUAAGCCCGGAUUACCGGAAUUCGUAAUAUUUGUCAACCUUGCUGAAUAAGCUUGGUUUAUGGACUAUAGCAUGACUGAUCAUCUGUUAUAGCCAGGUGUCCAAUUAUUUUUAAAGCCCAAUAAAAUUGUGAAUAGUUUAAAAAGAAGUUACCCUGCCUUCAAGAGAUAUUUGCUUAUACAUUCAUUUCUGCAGUUUUAAAUAUUUUCACUUCUUUAUUAUGGCAUUGCUGUACAACAAAUAUCAAUUUCAUUUUGUUAUUCUUGCUGAGCAUUAUUGCUCAUUCUUGCUAUUCCUUCUAACCCUUUUCAGCUAGGAAUAAAGAUGAUUCACUUAAGACUAGGCAAGGAUUGCAAGUGGUUGAGUUUCAAGCAGAUGGACAGGUAGAGUAUUUAGGACGAUGUCAUUAAGACUAGAUGCAGUUGGAGUUCUGCAAUUCAAUUCAGUUGGAAAUUAGAUUUGUUUAUUUGGUUAUCAGCUACUCUUCUUAUCGAGGUUUAGCUGAUAAUGUUGUUUAAUUUGUAAAUAAGAUUUUAUAGUUUUAGUUUCUGAUUUCAAUGCUGUAGCCUGUAUGCGAUCCUGUUUUCAGGGGGUGAAAUUGAUUUUGAAUUAAAGACCUUCUUUUAAAAAAAAAAAAUAUCCAGGUUUAGAAAUACUUGUUUUUACUUUCUUCCAAAAAUACAGGUUUUAAAUUGUUUUUCUUUUAAUGGCUCAAAACUACAGGUUUUAAAUUAUUUUUAUUUACACGUGGCACCAGAUCUAGACCCCCGGAUUUGAGGGAUGUCACAGUUGGUAUCAGAGCUACAGGUUAUAAGUUAUUGAAAUCAGAAUGUAGGUUGUAACUUGUCUAAUAAGAUAGACACGUUAAGUGAAACCUCACAUAUAGGUAAGUUCAGAUUAGUGGUGUAACCUCAUAUAGAGGUAUCGUAAGACUAUUUGGGGAUAGUCCUUUUGAGCAUAAUAAAAUGAAGCUAAACGAUUAUGUUUAAGUGAUUAUGGUUAUAGACACAACAAUUCCUAAUUCUAGUUCUUCCAGUCCCUAGUGGCCUAGUUUAUUGACCAAUUCAGAUUUAUAUCAUUGUAAGAGGGUCAAAGUUAGACCUAUCAACAGAACCUUCAAGCUAGAACCAGUAGAGAUUCUCACACAGUCUAAUGUAUCCUUUAUAGUAUCUUCCAAGUGUUGAGUAUUAUUUGAAGAGUCACCUUUUGAUUCUUGUCAGAGAUAUCUAGAAUUGGUGAAAGAAUAGAGGUGUUAACAAGUCCGAGUUUACAGCUUUGUAUAUAGUUAAGUAGUGAGCGUUAGAGCUACGUAGAGUUCGUGUUAGAUUAUUCGAUCUAGUACUUAUGUGUGAGUUAAGACGUCAACGCUCUAUGGUGAUGAUUGUAUAAAGUUGGAUAAGACUUUUGACCGACAACGAUAUCAAUGAUGGGAUCUUCAGAGGCUAUUACUAGUCAACGAUAAUAUAUGCAAGUGGUCACUAAAACGUCAAGAAGAAUCACUAGAAUCAGAACGAGUCAUCAAAAGAAUCGAUCAAGAAGACAUCUGUGAGAAUCCUGGCAAUACCUUCCUCAUUGUUGAUAUAUUGAUUUCUUUCCCCAUCAAUGAUUUGUUCUGACAUCACUUAAAAAAAAAAAUAUUUGAUAAAGAGUAUAUUUUUACCUUUCACUCGAGUUCUCGAAUGAUACUUGUGCUUACUGUCAGACCUAUAGAAUCUAUUCAAUCUUGGUAAUUUCGAACCCUUUCAUAUUCUCUACUCUAACUGAGAUGAACAACCCUACCUAUAGGGGACACAAGGACUACCUGUCUGUGUGAUAGGAGUUGGAUGGGACGCCAUCACUUGUGUGUGUUGUACAUUACAAGAAGGUUAACUACCUUUAGUAGUGUCUUAAAUUAGACACGCAACACCGAGUUCUAUAGACCAUAUUGAUCUCUCAGUUAUUCAUUUAUUUCAAUCACGUAACACUUGCUCCAAUAUGUGAAAUCUGUCAUAUCUUUUACCUUCAAGAUUCUUCUAAUCUCUAAUAGUUGGAGGUAUGCCAACCGAGUUGCCAAUAUGAAUUAAGACUUUGUAGUAAGAAGCACCAGGGAUGAAAGCGAAUGACAAUGCUGGUUAUAUCAGAAAGGAAUAUUAUGGAUUAUAGAGAUCGUACGCUCUAGUUUUCUUUUUGAUGAUUCCGAGGACGGAAUCUUUUUAAGGGGGGUAGAUUGUGACGACCCGGAUUUUCAGAAAUUAUUUUAUUAUUUUUAUUCAUGAUUAUUCGAGACAAAUGAGGAAUAAAUUUCAAUAUUUUAUUCUAGUUUGAUAAUUUUCAAAAAUAUUUGUUUAAAUUAUUUUCCUAGUCAUUGUGAUUAUGAGAAAAUAUCUGUUGAUUGUACAAUUAUAUGUUACGAGAUUUAAUUGAAUUAGUUGUCUACUAUUAUGUCUGUGUGUGCAUUUAUUUUUACUUUUAAUAUUACUGUAUUGUUUUAUUGAAAUUUAUUAUCCUCUUAAAUGGAUAUUUAUUUUUGUAAAAAUACAAAGAUAAUUUCAAAAAUUAUUUUAAUUGCUCGAUAGUGAUCAUAAAUAUGUUUAGAAGUUUUUAAAAUAUUAAAAAUCCAAUUUCUACAAGGACAUGAUUUUUAAUUAGUUUCUAAACGCAGCUAACUUCUUAAUUUUGUAUAAAUUUUGAAAAUGCUCUAUAAAUCUUGAAACUUUUAUUUUAUGAGUUUUAUAAUAUUCGGUAAUUUAUAAAAUUAGUUUGUUAAUUUUUCGAGAAAGUUUUAAUGCGAGUUAUCCCGUAAAUCAACUAAAUAGCGGGUGUUUGGAUGAUUAUUCAGCUUAAAAUAAAACGUGGCAGCCUUUGGCCAAACCACGUGCCCUGCUUUUCACCACCGCCAUCCCUUUUCUUCAUUUUAUAUACAUCAGCCUCUCAAUCUCUCUCUCUCUCUCUCUGUGAAAUCCUCCAUCUCUCCCUCUCCGCUCCUCUUUCUUUUCUCACCCAUCUUCCUCUCUUUCUUGGCAUCACCGUCCCUUCCCUGCAGCCGCCGAAUUAUGCCGCUGCCACCUCUUUCCGGCGACCACCAUAGCCCUGCACCAAUUAUAAAUCAGUGGGUAUAAAGCUUAAUUUCUCUUUGUCAAAUCAGUUCUAUAUAAACGUAUAUAUACAUGUGGUGUUGUGUUUAUAUGGUUUAAUUUGAUUUAUAUAAUCGAUUUAUGUGUGCUUGUAUGUAUAUAAACUGAUUAUAUGCUGGUUAUUGAAAUUUGAAGGUUGAUUGAAUUUUUGAGAUUGAGAUUGGUGUUAGUAAUCGUAUGAUUGAAUUGUGUGCUUAAUUGAUAUUUGAAUUGGUUGUUGGAGGUUCAUUAUAAAUGGUGCGCCAACUAGUAGUGUAAUCGGAUGACUUGGGUACUUGAUUUAUGGGAAUAUAUAACUGAGUAUUAAAGCUUUAAGGUCUGAGAUUUUGUGUAAAUGUUUUCAGAAUGGUGUUUUAAGAGUUUAAGUAUUGAGCUAAAAAAAAUUUAGAUUUACACAUAAUCGGUUGAAUUGUAAGUUGCUGCUGAUCUGUUUUGCAGUAAAAUUCUGGGCUUCUAGAGUCGAAUUAUAUGCUUAAUAUUUUUGUGGUUAUGUGCUCCUCAGAGUCUAGUUUAUGUGCGCAAAAGAAUCGAAUCAAUUCGAUUAGCGAGCUAGGAGAUAUGACCGUUUUAGUAUAGUAUGGUGCUGAAAAUUCUGGGCAGGUUUGUCCUGUUCCAGGCUCUGUUUUACAGCUUUAAACUUGGAUUUUCUUUCUGAAAAUUUUACUGUAGGUUGGAAUAAUAUUUAGGAGUGUCUCAUAAAAAUUUCGUAUUUAAAAGAUAAAUUUUCAAUUUAUUAAAAAUCAUAGACCGAGGGCUGUUUGAACUAUUUGUUCUAUUUUUCUUUCUUUGCUAGUGCAUAGUAUGAGGUUAUACUUGACUAAUUGCAUAUGAUUGAUUAUUACAUUGAUUGGCUCGGUUAACCUUGUAUAUCUAAUUAAAAGUGUUUUGCGUAUAACAAGUUAGCAAUCCUGCUAAAAGAUUUUAUUAUAUGUUUACUACAAGUCAAGACAGAUUUUCUUAUGUGUUUACUGCAAGUCAAGGGAUCUUUUUAUAUUAAUAAUUCAUGUGUUAGCAAUAGUAUUGGUUGGUUGUUGGCAUUGCAAACAGGUGGAUAAGCUUAUAAACAGAGGAGAUGCUGCCGAAUUUUCGUUAGAAAUUAUAUGGAUUUAAUGCCUAUAAAAAGGGUUGUUUGUACAACUAUGUGCUAUGUGUUUAUGUGACUGUGGUAUGUAUAUGCGAAGGGUAGAUAUAUAUAUAGGUCUUAAUGCAAUUCAGGGUUAGUCAAUAUGUCUAAUCCGACGACUGAAAUACUAUUUUAUCAUCGUAUAGAAUUGAAGACAUUGACCGAGGCAUUAAUCGAGAAGUGAUUGAAAGGGGUAUUCAGAAAUAGCCAAGCAGAAUGUUACAAGUUGAAGUAGGACGGAGAUUUGUUAUAGAUAAAAGUGUGUCAGAAGCUGGCAGAAAGGAAUGAUUAUGCGGUAUAUAGUGUUACUAGGAAUCUGAGCUAAACUUUGGAGUUAAGGCAAGUACUUCUACCUUCUCUCGCAAUUUAGAAGCAAGUAUUUCUACCCUACUCCUCUAGUACCUAUAGAUACUAAAACCUUCUUUAUAUCAUGAUUCAAAUUAUUUGCAAUUACUUUCUUGUGAAGCAUAUCUAGU